ensembl:lncRNA
GAAGCCCAGGCAAAAUUAGUAGGCUUGACGAGCCUCCACGCUUCAGAUGGGAAUUCAGCCAGAAGCCCAUUCUGAAGGAGAUCAGCCCUGGGAUUUCUUUGGAAGGACUGAUGCUGAAGCUGAAACUCCAGUACUUUGGCCACCUCAUGCGAAGAGUUGACUCAUUGGAAAAGACUCUGAUGCUGGGAGGGAUUGGGGACAAGAGGAGAAGGGGACGACAGAGGAUGAGAUGGCUGGAUGGCAUCGCCGACUUGAUGGACAUGUCUGAUUGGGCCUGUUCCUCAAAGGCUGAAUUUAUCAUCCGUUUAUUUUCAGGAAUUUCAAGAUCAAAAGGGGUGAAAACCCAUAAGGCCUCACACAACCUUUUGCAGAACCUGGCCAGGCUUUCAUCUGGUUCAUGUAGCACCAGAGUGGUCUUAGCCACGUUAGCAGGCUUCUUCGCCCCAUCUUUUACCCCUUGUAGGAGAGAGGGACUGUCAAUAUUUCUCCAACUGGUUUCUUCCCCCCUCAGCAUUGGGAUACCAGCAAGUCUCUUCCUCUGGGAAGUUCUUCCAAGCCCAGUUCUCCACAUCUAAUCGGCCCUCUGGGGCAUUGGCCUGGAGCCAUUUUCCAGCCUUUGUCAUGACUCAUCAGCAUCCCUCUGUAUUGAAUAGGGUGAGUAGAUACUGCAGGCAGUCUCCCCAGCUGGGGCGGUAGGUCUGGAAGAUGGAUUCUAAGAGACCAGUCACUGCUUGGGGCUUUUUAGAACAUGAGGGG